GUGGGGAAUAUUGGUCAAUGGACGGAAGUCUGAACCAGCCAAGUAGCGUGCAGGAUGACGGCCCUAUGGGUUGUAAACUGCUUUUAUACAGGGAUAAAGUCGGGAACGUGUUCCCGUUUGUAGGUACUGUAUGAAUAAGGACCGGCUAAUUCCGUGCCAGCAGCCGCGGUAAUACGGAAGGUCCGGGCGUUAUCCGGAUUUAUUGGGUUUAAAGGGAGCGCAGGCUGAUGAUUAAGCGUGACGUGAAAUGUAGCCGCUCAACGGCUGAACUGCGUCGCGAACUGGUUAUCUUGAGUGAGUUCGAUGUUGGCGGAAUUCGUGGUGUAGCGGUGAAAUGCUUAGAUAUCACGAAGAACUCCGAUUGCGAAGGCAGCCAACAAGGCCUUUACUGACGCUAAAGCUCGAAGGUGCGGGUAUCGAACAGG
rnacentral:rRNA from 1 species